rnacentral:rRNA from 1 species
UACGGGGGGGGGCAAGCGUUGUUCGGAAUUACUGGGCGUAAAGGGUUUGUAGGUGGCCCGCUAAGUCACACGUGAAAUCCCUCAGCUUAACUGGGGAACUGCGUGUGAGACUGGCAGGCUCGAGGGCAGGAGAGGAACGCGGAAUUCCAGGUGUAGCGGUGAAAUGCGUAGAUAUCUGGAGGAACACCGGUGGCGAAGGCGGCAUCCUGGACCAUAACUGACACUGAUAAGCGAAAGCCAGGGGAGCAAACGGG